AGCCUACUAGUUCAAUUGGUAGAGCAUUGUGGUAAUACCUAGGAUGUGGGUUCAAAUCCCACUAGGCUC
rfam:Beta vulgaris subsp. vulgaris Bvchr2.sca007.con0094.1, whole genome shotgun sequence.